rnacentral:rRNA from 1 species
UUCACCCUACGGGAGGCAGCAGUGAGGAAUAUUGGUCAAUGGGCGGGAGCCUGAACCAGCCAAGUCGCGUGAGGGAAGACGGUCCUAUGGAUUGUAAACCUCUCUAGGCGGGGAGCAAUGCCGGGCACGCGUGCCCGGAGGGAGAGUACCCGCAGAAUAAGCAUCGGCUAACUCCGUGCCAGCAGCCGCGGUAAUCCGGAGGAUGCGAGCGUUAUCCGGGUUUAUUGGGUUUAAAGGGUGCGUUGGCGGAUUUUUAAGUCAGCGGUAAAAUGGCCGGGCUCAACCCGGGCCGGCCGUUG